CGCGUCGGGCGGCAACGCGCGGCGUGACGGGACAGAAGUCAGCCGAGGCCAUAGUAGCCGUGCAACCGUGGAGCGGGCGCGUGGCGAAGGGC
rfam:Thiorhodococcus drewsii AZ1 ctg209, whole genome shotgun sequence.